UGACAGCAUGUUGUUGAAUGCAAGGGGCAGAUCGGGAAAAUGUCCCAACAGUAUGAUGUCAUUUAAGUGAAUUUGUGUGCAUUGAAGAUUCUUGUAAAGCUUUAUUCUUGUUUACGUGUACUUGUGUGUAUGUGUGUGUGUACAUGUGUGCACAGAUGCCUGUGAAAGACGGGUGAAGGUGUUGGAUGCCCUGAAACUAGAGUGAUAAGCGGUUGGGAACUGCCUGACAUGGGUGCUGGGAGCCGAAUUCCAGCCUUCUGCAGAGCAGCGAGAGCUUCGAGCUGCUGAUUCCUCUCUCCAGCCUCCGGAAGAAGAGAAUGCCCCCUCCUGAGCAGAGAGCAUGGAGAACAGAGCUUUAUCAAGUGGGCAGCCAUUCUAGCUUCGUUCUGGAAGUCCCAACCCCCAUUGAGGCUUCGGUAACUGUCACACCUUCAAGGCGGGGCCAAGGGAGGACUCUGAAGACCCGAAAUCCAGAUGCGCCGGCUCUCUUGGUUCCUGGACCCUGGACACUGGAGGUAGACCGAGCAGAGUUCUCCAGAGAACACUGCCAGACUGCCUUUCCCGGACCCUGUAAACUAUCCCUUCACUUAUAAGUUACCCCACAAAAUAAACCUCCCUUUUAACUCCACGGAGUGGCCUUAAUAAUUUCACCAAUAGGUGAUUUUCUGAAUGUGCAUGCAGUCUCUGCAAGUGGUGAGUCUCCUCUUCACCUGGUAAGAUUUUCAUUGACAGCAUACUUAAAUU